rnacentral:ncRNA from 1 species
UACGAAGCAAGCGACAAGAUGAGUAGAUGAUUUAUUUUCUCAAGAGAGUUACCAGUUGAUGCAAGGUAACGUGAAUGAUUCAUCGAAUAUGGUCUUGAUAAUCGCUCAACUGCCGAACCGAUGGCUAAGUAGUUGCGGGUACGCCCGUUAAAGCGUUAGGGUAUGCGCUGACAGCAGUAAGUACUGAAUCGCCGUUAGUUAGUACUCGUUGAGAGAUAUUCCGCGAGGGGUAUUUGAACUAAGGUGGUUACACGAAAGCAUUUUCGUCCUUUUA